rnacentral:lncRNA from 1 species
UCCAUUUUCAUGUUUGUCAAUAAAAAUUUCACUUUUAUGUACCUCAUAUAAUUUCCUCGAAUACGUAUGAUUUGAAUAGCAUGCUUUAGCAGAAGUAUAUGGCAAAAGCAAAUGCAAAAACAAAGGAUUAAUAUUAAUAUUCAGAAGCUAAAACAUUGGCGCCUAAUACACAACUCACACAAUAAUUUGCAAUAAUAUCCUACUAAGAAAAAUAGAUAAUAAUUCUAGUAUCCUGGCAUCAUCUUCAGUCGGAGGAAGUUAAGCUGCCAAAAUUAAAAUCAGCAGAGUCAAACAGAUCUGAGACUACACUCUACUACGACAAUACUUUUUUGUGUAAAUUUGUAGGUUAAAAGAAUCUAAAGAACAUAGCAUACCCCCAGCCUGAGGGAAGUAUCAAAUUCAUGAGAAUUGUUGAUACACUGUGAUGGAUUGCUUUGCUCAAUACCCUUUCCAGUACCCUCAGAUUUCUGCAUAAACAGUUCGCUCAGUGACUUGAGAACACGAAAAAAUUGCUACUAAAUUCCAGUGCAUGCAGUAAGAGAAAUUAUAUAAAUUUUGAAAAUAAAAUAUCAAUUCUCACUUCUGCUCGCUGUUUCAACUUGGCAUUUUCUUCCAUUAGUUUAGAUUCCUGCAUAUCAGAAAAAUCAACUAAUUAACCAAGCCCCUAGUUGUAGAUUUUAUCUUUUUACUGGAUUUCUCUCUUAAAAAGUAGCAGCAAGAAUAUUUUUUUCAUCAAAGGAUAAAGUUCGAGGUCUUGCUUUUUUCACGAGCAAAUUGAUCUCUUUAAAAAACUUGUCAUUCUUUCCGAAGGGAAGACAGAUGUUUGCACAAAAAAUAGAAUAGGCAACACUAUAAAACACAAAAUUGUAUGUAAUAAUACCGUUGUUUGCACUGCAUGGUUUAGUCCUCCUUGUAUUUUUAUCUCUAGUUUGAUUAACUUAUCCAUGUCAAGUACUUGGAGCUCUUCUCCCUUAAGCCGCCACAAUUACAAUUGUGUCUCAACUGUGCAAUGAACUCAAAUAUGCAUUACAAGAAAUCAUUAAUUUACAGCCAUAUUUUACCUUAACUCACGAGUCUUGUCCACGUACAUCUUGUUGAGCAUGCCAUAGCUACAUCUUCCUGAGAGGAAAAUGCAAAUAGGGUUAUUCGAAUAUCACACAUGACAUAAUAAUUUUCAGUACUUGAAAUAUUAUCAUGUUAUUGACAUUAUAUUGUUUAAAUACAAAGUUCAUUUAUUUAGUCAAGUUCAUCAUUUACUUAGUUAAGUUUAUUCACGUCUUUGGGAUAAUGCAUGCGUACUUUAAUAAAUUAGUUUAGUCAUGUACUUGGAAGAUACACAAAUUUUUUUAACUGUUAGUUCACAUUUAGCCCUUGUUUGAGUCCCAUUUUUAUGUUGAAAUGAAUUUUAUAAUAGUGAUUUUUUUUGGAGAACGUGUAGUUAAAAAAUUAAGAAAAAAUUUGUUUACAUACAAAUUAUUUUAUCCAUAAAAUGUAUGGUUGAACUGAAUAUGAGAAAAAAUGAAUUAUUGAAUAAUAGGAUCAAAUAAGGGCUCGAUAACUAGUACAUAUAUUAGAUUAAAUUCGUUCUUUGUGAAGCCUAUAAAAGUUGAGUAGUCUCUUAAAUAUUAUCUUCUCGUCCAAAGUUGUUGCAUGAGUCAUUUUUGGUGUGUUACGGAAAUAAAGUUGACUGUUCUCUUGAAUAAUAUUUUCUUCUCUUCUAGAAGUUAUUGUUCCAUCUCCAAUUUUUCAACAAAAAUAGCUUUAAAGCGAGGUUGUAAGAGUGUGAAAAGAAGAAAUGACAAACAAUAAUUCUUUUUCAUUCCUUGUGCACUAAUGACAAUGUAGUACGCGGAAUAUUUGAAUGAAGGCAUAUCUUGAAAGUCAAGAUUUGUGGGACUUGUCACAUAGAGGUUCCGCACCUCAAAAUGAAGAAGGCAUGUUUAAAGCACAAAGAGAUUUGCAACAAGCAACUAAGAGGAGGAUAAAAAAUGCUCUUAGUACGAUUCAUCGAGAUUUUGAUGAUACAAUUUUUCAAAAUUUGUCAAAUAGUACCUCUUCAAAGCAAGCAUGUGGUAUUCUUCAAAAUAUAUAUGAAGGUGCAAACAAAGUCAAAAAAAUUUCAUCUUCAACUUUUAGAGGAAAAUAUGGAGUUCUAUCCAUGAAGGAAUCUGAAUAAAUUUUAGAUUACUCUUCGCAAAUAUUGAUGGUUAUCAAUAAGAUGAAUAGGUAUGAUGAAGUAAUCUUCAAGAAACCAAAAAAGCUCCUAAAUCUUCACAUAAAAAAAUUCAAUUUUAUGGUAGUGGCAAUUGAAGAAUCCAAAUACUUGGAAGAAAUAACCAUUGAUAAAGUCAUGAGUAUGCUCACAAGGAGAAGUUGAAAAAGAAGAAAGAACAAGCGAUACAAAUCUUUCUUUGAAAGACAAUAAAGACAAGUACAAUAUGAACCAAAGAGGUAGAGGAUACGGAAGAGGACAUAAAAGAGGAGACCGAAAUUUCCAACGUUCAUUCAAAAAUUAAGGGAAUUAUCAAUACUUAUAGAAUUCAAGAGGACGAAGACAUAAUUCUCAAAGAAGAGGAAGAAAAAACGAUGGUGGGGAUAUGAUAAAUGUCAAAUUGAAUGCUAUAAUUAUCACAUACUUGGUCAUUUCGCAUGGAUGCGCAUAGUAACAAUGUGGAGGAGCAGCCCUUAACAAUGUUAAAAAAAGGAGAAGGCAAAAAAACAAAAAAUAAAAAACUUAAUACUUUGUGUACAAUGUACAAAAAGCAAGCAACAAUCAUAUGAGCGGAGACAAAUCAAUAUUCAUAGAACUUAAAGAACUAAAUGGUUAUGUUACAUUUGGAGAUGAUUCAAAGGUUCAAGUCAAGGAUAAAGCUAAAAUUCUCAACCUAAUGAAGAACGAAGAACAUCAAUACAUUUCCAAUGUUUACUAUGUUCCUUCCAAAUAUUUGGAGUUCGGGACAAUUUUUGGAUAAAUAAUAUGACAUCCCAAUGAAGAAUCAAUAAAUGAUGAUGAAAGAUUGCAAUGAAAACAUGAUUUCUAGAUUUUCAAUGACAAAAUUGAAUUUUCUUGUUGAAUAUUCGAAGUGAAGAAGUGGAGUGCUUGAAGGCAUGUGCUAAAGAUUCAACAUGUUUAUGGCAUUUGAGGCUUGAUCAUCUAAAUUUUAAUGGUCUAAACCUCCUGACGAUGAGAAAUAUGGUUAAGGGUCUACCACAUAUUCAUCAUCCAAAUAAAUUUCUUGUCUCUAUGAAAAGCAAGAAAGGCAUUCACGAAAGAAGCAAGUUUUCGAGCAUCAUGACUACUUGAAUUAGUGCAUACAGAUCUCUGGGGAACAAUCCAGCCCGCAUCUUUUGGUAAAGGUAAUUACUUCAUGCUAUUUAUUGAGGACUUCUCUUACAAAACACCAGUGUAUUUUCUUAGAGAAAAGAUUGAUGCAUUUGAGGCUUUCAAGAAUUUCAGGGCGAUGGUGAAAAGUUUAAGUGUCACAAAAUGAAAACCUCAUAUCGGAUCAUGGUAGUGAAUAUAUUAGAAACACAUUCAAGAAUAUAUGUAAAGAUCAUGGUAUUUAUCAUUCUUUAAUAGCAAAGAGGAAGAGUAGGACUCGUGAAAAUGACUCGAAGUAUUUUGAAAACUGAGAACAUGCAAAAGUUCUAGGCUGAAGCUGCUCAGUGUGCUCUAUAUUUGUUGAAUCACUGUCCCAUCUAAGUGUGCAAAAUGACACCUAAAGAAGCAUGGAGUGGAUUCCAGCCAAGUACAUCAUAUUUUUGGAUUUUCAAGAGCGUUGCUUUAUCUCGUGCUCUGAAAGAAAGGAUAAAACUAGAUGCAAGAGAGAAAUAUAUCUUAGUUGGCUGUGUUUAAGAUCAAAAUGUAAUAAGCUAUACAACCCAAUGAAUAAGUAGGUGAUCACUAGUAGAGAUGUUGAGUACGACAUUGGAAUUGGCAAAAUCAGCAAGAUUAUACUAUAAUUUUUUUUUUCCUUUCGAUGAUGAUGAACAAGUUGAUGUGAUUCGGCCUCAAAUAUCACCAUCAACUCCACCUCGAAAUUAUGGUCAAGAUAUAAGUUCAUCUUCAUCAUUUUCAAGUAAAAUACCACAUCAUUUUAGAAGUCUUAGGGAGAUUUAUUUUGAUACGGAGGAGUUAUGUCGACAUCUUGGGAAAUUAACUUUGUUUUGUCUAUUUGCCAAUCCUGCAGUUAUUGAUUUCGAUGACGCCAUUCGAGAUAAUCAAUGAAAGAAAGACAUUAAAGAAAUGAUAAAAGCAAUUAAGAAGAAUAAUUAGGCAAUUGGAAGCUAGUUGAGAGUGGACAACAUGUUUAUUGUUUGAGAGUGGAUUAGGAAAUUAAUUAAUUAAAGAGAAGAAAAUUAAACAAUAAAAUAUUACAUUAAAUGGGAUCCACCUACAUGAUUCUACUUGGGUUGGAGAAGACUCGCUCUCGAAUCUUUAGUCACUCAUCCAACACAUUAUAGAGACGGUUAUUCAACUAAUAUGUCAAUGUCAUAGAUAUUAUCCAUAUAUCUUGAUUCUAAAGAUCAUGAAAAAAAUUGUGCAAUUAAUUAAUUUUUUUCACUUCUAUCCCACAGUAUCCCAACAAAUUCACUGAAACAUUCAGAGUUAUUGCGUUGCAAAAUUUUGGGAUGUCCAAAUGGUCCAAGUAUAUUUGAUCCUAUGUCUAGUUCAACCAUGUGGCCUUCUACUAGAAACUGACCAUUUAAGUGUGAAAAUUAUUUCAUUUACAUCAUAGUGGUUCCAAUUUUACCAACUUCCAUAAUUUCAUGAUGAUCAUCUCUUGACAUUGAGAAUUGAUUCUCAAAAUCAGUAAGUUGAUCCAUAUUCUUCCUCAACGAAUUUGUGUCUGACUCCAUCUUAACAUCAGUACAACAAUAUGAAUUGUUGUUCCCACGGGUGUUGCUCGCCAAUCUCAUAACCAACGUUAGCCCCCCAAUUACCGGAACACUCUCUAUCUCUGAGUUUUCCAUUUGCAACAUAUCUACAGUCAAGCUCUCAACUAAACCCAUCAUUGCACCAGUCUCUUUUAGCCAUAACAUGCACGCCAUGGUCACUGCCUCCUGCCUCUCGCCUAUCGGCAUAAAGGUCACUCACCAUCUAUUGUGGAGGGAUAACCAAUCUGGCCACCUUUUUGUGUCACGACCUCAGGAUAUUGACAAAUUUGUAUUAGCUCAUGUCUACGGUUUCCAUUAUCAACCAUGAAAAUAAGACGUUUAACUUGUCCUCCUCGAUCCAUUGUUGGAAGCAUAGACUAACUAUGAUAUCAACUAACACAUGCGAAAGCUUAAACAAUAACAAAUAUGGGAUUAAAAAUGAAAAUUCGAAUACGAAUUAAUCAUUUAGGUGGAUAAAUGAAAAAAAAAUUGGAACUUUCUAUUCAUAUAAAAAAUCCACCACCAUACAAUUCAAUUAUAACACCAAAUUUAUUCAACACUCCUAACUAGCCUUUUAUGCAAAACAAACUCAAGAAAAAUUACUUAUUUCGAUUAAACUCCUAAUCAUAAUAAAAUGAUAAUGGACUAGUUAAUUAAAAAAAUAAAAUUGAACAAUAUAAUCUUAAAGUAAACAGACUACUUGCAUCAUAGAUUUAAUUGGGCACAUGGAGGAAACGUAAAUCUGCAAUUAAUAAGCUGGAAACAAUCUAUGUGCAAUAUUUAAACUCAUACGGCAAUGUUUAAAAUUGACUGCAUUAAUUCGAUUUUGAAGUCUUAUUUAUCUUUAUUUUCUUGUUAUAAUUACAGUAUAUGAAGCAUAAUCACGAACAACAAUUUAAAGUUGAAUUGUCUAUAAAUGGUAUGUCUCACCUUAAGUCAGAAGAAAAGUUGCCCUAAUUUGUUGGAAUUCUCUGAUUACCUUCUAUGCCAUUCAAUUAGUUGCAUCAUGCUGCAGAAUGAUACAUCGGGAAAAAAAUUUCAGCUAAUUAAACUAAGAGCAGAUGAAAUCAAAAUCUAAUACUUCUAUAAAUAGAAUGAGAGUUUGCUAUCAAAUACACAACUCAAAGGUACGAAUUAAUGCAUGUUUUGUAAUCAAUACGAAAUUCAAUAGUAUGACGAUUCUUUUUACUUUAGCAAAUAUAUUCAAUCAUACUAUAUUCUAGAAGGUUAAUUUAAAAUGCGUGCAGCUGCACUUAUGUGUUUGCGUGAGACUGUUGAAAUUAUAGGAAUUUGUUGUACACCAGGAUGUUCUGACAGGGUUGACACCUCUUUACCACCCUCAUCAUCUACUGAUCCCCAACCUUUUAUUAGUAAUACCAAAAAGAAAGAGUAUCUCAAAACUGAAGCAAGUAGAACUAUAUAUUAGUUUUCAGUUUUUCCCUUUCAAGUGCCAGCUAAGAAUUAUAGGGACCUUGUGCAUUUACGAGUGUGAAAUAUUUUCCUAGUGUCACUUUGGAACGUGGAAUAUAUAUUGGUUAACCAUUUAAGCUGUUAGAAAACAUAAAUUAAUAAGUGUCCUCGUAGAUGUUGAUAACUACUUGCAGAAAGAUUUUUGAUUCCAUAUAUAGAUGUUAGAUGUUAACGUUUGAAACUUCAAUAGGUCUACGUCUUGUUUAAGCAAUGGAAAAAUCCAAUAUAUCUGUGAGAGAUAAUAUCUGAUUGAAUAGUAAGCCAAUGGAUUUUCUAGUGCAAGCUGGAAUCAGUAUUUUCAUGUCGAACUGCAAGUCAUGCACAAAUUUCUUAAUUGUGGGCAGCUAAAGACUUCAACUUAAGACAUUGGCGUGAUAUGGUACCAUUUUAAACUAUAUUAUUUUAAAGCUUAAAGAUAUGGGGAAAGGAGUAUGUUCUCGAUAAGACAAUAUUGGAUAGGAAAACAACUAAUAUCUCACAUGUUUAAGGUACAUAGCAUGAACCUUAGACAAAAAAUAAAAAAAAUAAAAUACAACCAAGCCAUCUCUCACAAAGGGUGCUAUUGCACUCAUGACUUAUACUGCCGACAGUCCCACAUUGACUCUCAAAAUGAACAUAUUCAAUAGCAUUUGCCCACUAUUAAUGAUCAAAAGAUUUGUUGAAAACACCUCUGAGCUACGAGAAUACUUUUUAUUUUGUUCCAUCCCUGUGUUCACAUUUUUCUGCAUGAUUAUUGUUGUUCAACUAUACAUCAUGCCCUGCCGCCUCCCCUUCACCAAAAGCUAGUUUGCAGAAGCACGCUGGAGAAAAACAUUUGAUAUAUAUCAACGUACCCUUCACCCCUAGUCUUGUUCGAUUCUUUGUAUAACACUUGUAGAUUAUUUGCAUCCAUAUCCAAGCUACAAUUCUCUACCUGAUAAUUUCCAUUACUACCCAAUUAAUUCCUAGCUUCUCAAAAGAAGUUUUCUGUGGUUUUAGCCCAUUAAAAUCUUUAGUUUUUGACACAAAACUAGCUAAGAAUUGAAACUCAGUAGCCAAAAGCAUCAAAGCUUCGACCCCAGUAGCAUGUUGUAUGUGCGUGUUCAAGAGAGAGAAGAGAGGAAAUUAGAGAAACUUGAGCUAGAAUAAUGGAUGAGUUUACCAGUAGCAGAAAAACAAUUAGGGCAAUCUCAGAAUCAGAAAGAGUAGAGUUCUUGAGCCUUUUUCAAAACCCUUCUGCUUCUCAUUGAAAAGGUCACUCUGCGUGCCAUCAAGUUAUCAAUCUCCUUGAUCUGAAUCUUCCGUCUCACCAUUUUCACAGUACAUUCAUUGCGAAAAAAUAUUAUCCCUUGUUUUUCAACCAAACAUUGUCCAUCAAUCUAUUCAAAAAUAUAUUCUUUGCUAAAAAUGGGGCUCAAAUAUAUGUGUAUGUUAUUGGUACAAUAAGAAAUAUAUUUUGAUUGUUCGUUGAUAAAAAUAAGGAAAAAAGAAACAAAGCAUAUUUUCACGGAAUCUGAAACCAAAACCCAAAAAAAUGGAAAUCACCGUUAGAAGAAUCAUUGUGUCUUUUUGCAAAAAUAGAAUUCUUCGACGGUGUCAAAUUUAAUAAUUCAGGGAAGAGACGAAAACCUCCACGUGCAGAAGUGAAACCCUAGAGAGAGAAAGUAGAGAGCAUCUAAAAUCAGUGAAGUGGCAGUGGAAGUAUCAAUAAAGUUGGUUUGCAAAUUAAAGGUUGAACCAAAUUUGAGGGCCCAUCGCCCCGCCUCGAGAAUUUUGUGAGGGAGGUAAAUUGUGAAAUGUGUUCCAACAGAUUAGAAAAUAAGAACUAUUUGUACACUGCGUCUACAAGGAGUCCAAUUCCAUGUCUCAAGAAUCGAAUCUCCACACUACGACUGUCAACAAGGCGUGAAAUAACAUCACUCUCGUCUUUUGCACAACUGAAUUAUACCCCGAGGACAAGUUGGUUUGCAAAUUG